rnacentral:rRNA from 1 species
UGGGGAAUUUUGGACAAUGGGGGCAACCCUGAUCCAGCCAUGCCGCGUGUGUGAAGAAGGCCUUCGGGUUGUAAAGCACUUUCGGACGGAACGAAAUCGCGCGAUCUAACAAAUCGCGUGGAUGACGGUACCGUAAGAAGAAGCACCGGCUAACUACGUGCCAGCAGCCGCGGUAAUACGUAGGGUGCGAGCGUUAAUCGGAAUUACUGGGCGUAAAGUGUGCGCAGGCGGCAGAGCAAGUCGAGUGUGAAAGCCCCGGGCUUAACUUGGGAAUUGCGCUCGAAACUACUUUGCUGGAGUGUGGCAGAGGAAGGUGGAAUUCCACGUGUAGCGGUGAAAUGCGUAGAGAUGUGGAGGAACACCAAUGGCGAAGGCAGCCUUCUGGGCCAACACUGACGCUCAUGCACGAAAGCGUGGGGAGCAAACAGGAUUAGAUACCCUGGUAGUCCACGCCCUAAACGAUGACGACUAGUUGUUGGAGGAGUUAAAUCCCUUAGUAACGCAGCUAACGCGCGAAGUCGUCCGCCUGGGGAGUACGGUCGCAAGAUUAA